rnacentral:rRNA from 1 species
UACGUAGGGGGCUAGCGUUGUCCGGAAUCAUUGGGCGUAAAGCGCGCGUAGGCGGCCAGAUAAGUCCGGUGUGAAAGCCACAGGCUCAACCUGUGAAUGCCGCUGGAAACUGUCUGGCUAGAGUCCGGAAGGGCGAGUGGAAUUCCUAGUGUAGAGGUGAAAUUCGUAGAUAUUAGGAAGAACACCAGUGGCGAAGGCGGCUACAACGUGGGCCCGGUAG